UUUGAGUUAGGGAUUGCAGUGGCAUCCUUUUGCCUUUUUGAGGCAAAAGAUAUAACGGAAAGCCCGACCACGC
rnacentral:sRNA from 1 species